AAAAAUCAAAAGGCAAGAAUAACAAAACAACAAGAACAGACUGUGGGAUACGGGUUUUAGAACUUCAAAAUCCCCAAAGGGAUUCCAAAUCCCUAAUUCCUCUCCUUUCUUCUUGCGACUUCCACGAACGAUGGUCCAGGUUACUAGUGUCGAUCUCAUCUGUUCUUCCGGUGACCAUGGCAGCGAGAGACGGCAACUAUGGCAAGGCGCGGUGAUGACAAGGGUGGCGCUUCGGUGGGUCACGUCCAGAUAGUGGUUCCAGAUUCGGGCUCUUACUCUCGACGGUGGUUCCCACCUAUCAUCGCGGUGGCUCUACAAAAAGAGGUAACCAUGGCCUUCGUUCUUGUUUCCAUUAUCUUCCUUCCUUAUCUUCUUUCGUCCUCCUUUACAGAUGGGUGUCGUUUCCGGCGAGCCCGAGGAAACUCUUUCCUUGCGUUGACAGCCCCUAAGGUUGUGAGGGAACUUGCCCCUUUCACGGCAUUGGGGCCAUUCGACCCCGGGUUUCACUAAGGUUACCUAAGGUUAAGAAACUUAAUCCCCCUUUAGCGUCAGGACGGGUUCAGUGGCUCAACGAUUUCCAUUUCUAUCUUGUUUUAAGGUUACAGCAAUGCACUAUUAGCUUUCAUUUUUUAUUAAGUUGAUAUAUAUUUCUGUUGAGACUGGUCUAUAUUUUAGCAUGAUCACUUAAAAAAAAACAUUUACGAACUAAGCAUAUAAAUCUAGUACAUAAACCAUAUAAAGCAGAAUAUGUUUAUUGAAGAUGCGUAUUUGAUUUGGGGCUCAGGGCACACAUAAAAUGUUGUUUUUUAUGGUUUUAAUGCUUACCUGAGUGUAUGUCCUUCUGAGUGUUGAUUCUUUAUCUAUCGAUGUUCUGCUUCGGUGUUGUACUUUCUGCCCUUGUUUAGCACUGUUAUAAUGUCCUCUGUUUUUUACGGUUGAAAUGCUCUCUGCGUUUACUGAGUGUAUGUGUGUCGCUUUACGCUGCUCGUGAAAUGUGAGCCUAUUUUUAGUUUGAUUUUUGUUGGAUGUAUGGAAGUAGUGCUCUGAUUAUAGUUGUGUAUAAUGUAUGACUUUUCUCUCUGUUCUCUGAACGUAUGUGUCUUUUGCUUUAUCUCUGGAAUGCUCUCUCUGAUUUUUCUUCUCUCUAUUGAUAGUUGUACGCCCUUUGUAGCUGUGUGUUUAUGUUGUACUGCCCUUUUGUUUUCUGGUUAUCCAUUCUGAAACUGCUCAAUAAUUAUUUCCAUUCAUGCUGAUUAUGAUUAUAUGUAACUGCUGAGAUAUUUCUGAAUUCUCACCUAAGAGAUAGGAACAUAUACCCUGACUCUUGCUCUUUUCUGAUUAUUCCUUUCAGUUUUGAAUAAUGCUCAAUGAUUACUAAUAAUCAUUUUACCACUAAUUACUCCAUUUAAAUUGAUUGCUGCCUAAUCCUGCUGUUUUGGAAUCCUUUUCUGAAUAUUUGCCAUUUAUGCCUACUGGAAUACAUAACUGAAAAAGGAAUAUGCCAACUGGUGAUGACUUCUGGUUUGCAUUUUUGAAAUUCUUAUAUUGUCCCAGUUAUUGCUGAUUUAUGUGCAUACGUAACUGUUGGAGAAGAUUUUUAUUUGCCAAUGAUGACCAUAAUUGGAGUAGAAUGGUAACUGGCCUUUAUCAUGUAACUCAUGGCUGAUUAGCGUGAUUGCUUUGGAAUAAUUAUUAUUUACUUAAGUGUAUGUGUAUGAUUUGCAUGUGUUACUAAAACCAUCUCUUCAAGUUUCUCUGUUGCGUUAUCUGUUCUGUUAUAAUUUCGUCUCUUGCAAAUGUAUGUAAAUUUGUGUUGUGUUGCAUUCUGCUUGUUCCAUAAAUUUCAUUGCCUUUUCCUCAAAUGUAACAUGUAUAAUCAAUUUUGUGUUAUUGGUGUUGGUCUUCUGCAUUUUGUUGGUGCGUUGCUCCAUGUGGUAUCCAUUAUGCAUAUAAUCGCUACAGGCCCUUAUCAUCAAUAUCAAAUCAACCUACUCCAUCACAGCAAGGAAAUUAGAUUUAGAUGCUGCAUUUUCUUGGCAAUUCUAACCCAUUCUCCAAUUUUGGAUCUUUUUGUUUCAUAUUUCUAGAUUUGUUUGGUCUGGUAAGAUAUGGUGGGGUAGUGGUGGAUGACUUGUGGAUUGUUGAGAUUUUUUUGGGUGAUUUUGAGUGAUACGAUGUUUGAGGUUUUGAAUGGCCAAUGCUAUUAACAAUGGUUGUUGCACACCAUUUUGCUUUAACCCAGUUAAGGAUGAUUGAAUUAUUUGGUUUAAUCAUGUUUUGAUUGUUUUAGCUUUCUGGGUGAAACUAAAAGCAAAUAUAUAUUUCCUUUGAUUUGCAGUGAUCUUUGCAUCGUGGCAUCCCAGGUCCAGGUGUAUACCCACGAAGAGGUGAAGAAUGCCACACUUGGGACGAUAAUUGAUGAUGCCAAUAGCUGUUUAGAUCAGGCACCGGUGAUCACGGAGGCAUCUAAGUCUUCCUUAGCAAUAUAUUUUUGUUAUAAUCUCAUUGUAUCCUAUUUCGUUCUUCCAUUUUUGAUUUCUUCUUGAUGCUCAUGUAAUAUUGUUUGUAUUAGGGGCGAAACCAGUGCCCGGUUCAUGUAAUUUCCAUAUUGAUUAUGAUAAUAUUUGUAACAUCAACGACAAAAAAUGCCCUCAAGAAUAACUUUGUUUUCACAAAUAAUUAGAAAUAACCCGAAAGACGUGAAAGACGCCAUGAUGUUUACGGACCAAUCCGUUAAAUAUUAGUUUAGUGAUGCAGUGGGUUCUUUGAUAUCAUAUGCAUGUGACUCAUACCCAACAAUAUUAAUCCAUAAAUUCCUGAAAAAGAUGCUUUAUUAUGCACAAGAAAAAAAAAGGUUGGACAAAAUUGAGUGUUCACAAUUUUCGACAAACUUCUCCCCAUCUCUUUUCGUGGUACUGAGAAUUGGUACAAACAGCCAUAUUGUGGUCGGUGUAUUCGAGACUCGUUCUUACAGUGCAUUAAGAAUUCGAUAAAAGAGAUCUGAGUUGUUUUAUCCUAGGGACGGCGUGGUCGAUAGUCUGUUUGCAUAUUUUGAGCAGUGUCAUGAAACGUUUUAAAAUUGUUGUUACCGUAGCUUGCAACAAUUAUAAAUGUCACAAAAUAAUACUUACUAGCUAAGUCGAGAGAGCGACCUGGUCUAUUUCGUGUCAUUUAAAAUUGUUGUAAGCCACGGUAACAAUAACUUUUGGAAAAUUAAAAUAGAAUGAAGUAUCAUUUUUUUAUUUGUUCGUAAAUUCACACAAAAAAAUGAACACAAACAUAAGAUAUAGUAUCUUAGAUCCAAUAUAUAAGCCCCUUUUCAAAUUCAACCCAUUGUAGAGAAGAUUGGAUGAAUGAUAACAUAUUAAGUUUUUGGGUUAGUUUGAGAGUUGAAUUUUGAAGGGGAAUGAAGAGAAAUGGAAGAUUUAGGAGCCAUAAAAUAUAUUUGUGAGAUGACUCUCAAGUCUUUCCUUUAUCUUCUUUCCCCUCCAAAAUCCAAGUCUCAAACUAACCGUUAAGGAAAAGAUAAUGGGUAAUUUGAGUUGUUUAAACAUUGUUAAUUAUAAGCACGAUCUCUUUCUUCUCAUAUAAUCAUGCACUCAAGAGAGAGAUAUACAAAAAAAAUUAAAAUCAAAAUUGAAUACCCUAUAAAUCCACAAAUAAUUAGAUAUAUGUGAAUGCAUUAAAAAUGAGUCAGCUACUUUAGAUGGAUUUAAGUUCUUUUCUUUCUUACAUUGAUUUAGUUAUAAUUAUAUUUAAUGUUGGAAUAAUACUAAAUUGAACCAAUGCGUUGGUCUAAUGGUGUAAGGUCUCGCUAAAUUUCUAGAAUAACCAAAAAGUCAAAAGUUCGACUCCUGAGAACAAAACUUGUUGGGAAAGAUCAGACAAUCGUACCUCCUAAAAAAAAUUAGUUCUUUAAUUAUAAGGUUUAUACUCUUGGUAAUACAAAAAAAUGCAAGGAAACCUUCUUUGCAAGUACCAUCAAUUAUAAGAACAUGUUUAACGAAAGGGAAAGGGUAAAAAUCACCCAACUUUUGGGAACCAUAUUGCAAGGCAUACCAAGAACAGUAGUAUAUUUACUAUUUAUUUUAUGAAGAUUUACAUAAGAGUCCAGGUGGUAAUGGUAUAAUCAUGGAUGACCUGUUAGUCAAAAUCCAAGUUUAAGAAAAAUUCCGAUGAACAAAGAAAUAUAAUUUAACUAUAAGAAUAAAUGACCCAAGCUCCUUAAAUGACCUUAGGAAAACCAAUAUCACCUAAACCCCCCAAAAAUGAUAAAAAAAACAAAAAAGGAAGAAGACAUGUUCCCUUCUAUACCAUUCAUUUAAUUCCCUUAGGGACAUCUCACAUUUCUCCCUGGUCCACCAUAAUAAAAGUAAUUUCCCCAAACAUUGUUGAUCCCUCCUUGUAUAUCAUAGCAAUUAGAGUGAUCUGCUAGAACCUUAAGAUUUGAUAAGGGAACUAAAUUAUUAUCCCAAUCCACAACUUGCAUAUUCCUAAAGUAAGAAGCUUUUCCAAAACCUUCUCUAGCAAAAUGGCCACUACCCAUUUGGGUGGAAGUGUGAGACCCUGUUUGUCUUGAAUUCACAAUUUCACCACCAAAUUGAACCAUGCUUGCAUGAUCCCUUAAGUGUGUGAACAAGAAUGAUGGCCAAUACCCAACUAGUAUUCCAGAUCCAAAUUCAAGCCACCAAUUCCCAUGCUUUGGAUCCUACACAAAAAAAGAAACAUAGGUCCAAAUAUUCAAUGACACCUUUUAUUAUUUUUAAGUUUUGUAAUAAGGCAGAACUACUCAUAGAUAUAGACAUAAUUAUGAAGAGCAACAUGUUAGCCUGGUUGGUAAGUGAAAUGGGUCAAAAAGAAGAGAAAUAAAGGUGGUGAAUGAAAUUCUCAAAAUAUUGGGAUCUUGUUAAUAUAAUACUAGUAAAAUGAUAAGAAGAAAUAAAGGUCUUUAGCUAUGAAUUAGAAGCUCUUUUUGUGGGAAAAGGAAGAGAAUCUUAAAAAGAAGAAAAGCAUAAGGGGUUUACAGUUCAUUAUUCGAAUGCAUAAGUGCAUGCGUGUAAUAUCCCAAAGUAUUAAAGUAAAGGGGUGCAUCUAACGAAGAAGGGUGGGUCACUGUACAAAAAAUUUUAUUUAAAAAUUUGAUAAUAAUAAAAAAUAGUAGCAUAUGCUAUAUCAUGAUAUGAUAAACUUAAGCGUGCACAGACACAUAUAUUAAGGAAUUAAAAUAAUAUUUAUUCUUUAUUUAAAGUUACAAAAUUAUUAUACGCUUGUAAUUAAAGAUAUUAUUAUUUGCUUUGAAAAUUUUAAACCAUUAAAUGUAAAGUUUCACUUUGAUAAAAUUCAAAGUGAAAAUAACCUUCUAAGUCACGAAAUUCAAUGGCAAUGCGAGACUUCCAAAAUAGUGGAGAGCCCACCAUUGACCAUCUUAUUUUUUUCUUCAUUUCAUUGUUUUUGGCAUUCUUUGACUAAGAAUAUUGAAGACUUUUAUGAACCACAAAACGUAAUCAGAUCAAACGGUAGGCAUCAGUCACUCAUUACUAGAGCAUAAAAUAGUUUAUACAUUAAGUGGGUCCCUUUAGGUGAACCUGUAUUGGAUUUUGGAUUUCAACUCAACAUGCAUACCUAGAAAAUGUACACAUUUAUUCUUCCACACUUUGUGUCACUCUAUGUUUCACGGGCUAUGUGAUUGGUUAGAAAAAAUAUUUAUAAAUUAAAAUUUAAUUAUUAAAUGUUUUUCUAACUGAUCAUAAACUUAUGGAAUGACAGAAAGUAUAUGACAACAUAUAUGCUCCUCUCAAAAGUAAUCUAAAUUCUAAACCAAUAAAUAAAAUAACCGUUAAUCCGUUUUAUGUGAAUUGUUUGACAAAGUUUAACUUUUUCAAUCAACUGUGAAAACUGCCCAUUACAUAAAAUAUUAAUAAAAAGACAAAUGAAGCCCAAAAACUAUGAGUUUUAUAUAUAUUUUUAGUACUGUUAAGAUAUCCUUUCAUCUUUUGGGCACGUAAUUAAUCCUUUUAGGAUGUGUGGUUGUUCUUCCUAAUAAUUGAAUAUUUGAUAUUUUGGUCAUUCUAUGAAGUGAUUUAAUACGAUCUUACACCACUAAAUCAACAAGUAAAAAUACAGUUUUAUUAUAUAAUAUAUUGUCAAUAAUUUUCUAGAGUCAAUUUCGUAACGGAGCAGAAAAUUACCUUCCAAAUGAGCAAGCUAAUAUCAAAUUGUCCACCAGCAUAAGAAGAUUUGGGAGAUAUUGCAGCUCCAAUUGCAAUUCUAUUGUUAGUUUGAACAAAGCCUGAGCAAAGUAAGUUGUAGCACCCAGUUGCUUGAUAUGCAUCACUCUGCAAAUAAUAAUCAAUUAGAAUUGUUAUUCUUUUUCUUUGAAAGUCUUAUAGUUAUCUUACUCUUCAAGCAAAGAGCAUAAUAUAUAAUAGUUACAUUAGUACGCUAUUAUUAUCACCCCUUUUCUUCAAAGAGUUUAUACUUACCGUCCAAUAAGUAAAGAAUCUAGGGUAAUUGUCCCCAUAGAGCUCCGGACUGACCUGCAUAAAAAGUAAAUGAAAAUAGUUUAAAUGUCUACCAUAAAAGUUAAGGACUAAAAUCCAAUUAUUUUUUUGUACUACUAAAUGAUAUUCCACCAUUCUAUUGGUAAAGAAUUAAUCUUUUUUUGGAUGUAUGAGUGUUCCUCCCAAUAAUUGUAUUUCCCAUGAAUCGCACCCUUUAAUUUUUUUGUUUUUUUAAAGAUGUAGCGGACCUUACACUACUAGGCCAACAUCUUGUUUGGUUAUUUAUUUUUUAUAAUGAUACCAAAUGUGAUUUAUAUUUAGUUAUCAUGCAUCUCAGUUAUACUUUGUUAUAUUUUAAUAUAGCUAUAUACUUACAAAAUUUAACAUUUCAAUAAAUGUUUUCCAAUUCAUGUUGGGUAUCAAGAUAUCAUGGUACCAUAGCAUAAACUCUAAAAUUAAAUACGUGGAAGCAAGUGAGUAGUAGGUAGUUGGGGAUUCUAGUUGCAUUCUUUAAUGCUAACCAAAUAUAAUGAAUUCAAGAAAUGUUAUGAAAGAUGUAAAAAUAAAAACAAGGAGUAUGGUUCUUCUGUAAAUGAAAAAUUAAUUAAGAUGCAGUAAUGGCUGAACUAAUACAUACCUGCCAACCAGCUUCAAUGGUGUUAAGAUCAUCACCAAAUGAACCAGAUAUGACCCACAUUUGGGACAAGCUGAAUUCAUAUUGAUUUGCCACCUUGGGUGCCCACACAUUUAUGCUAGCUUUUGCUCCAUAAUAUUGUUGUCCACUCACAUACCCAACUGCAUGCUGUGCAGGAAUUAAAUCUUUUCUUAGGCCAUUUUGAAAAUUGAAGAUUGUUCAUAGAGGAAACUCAAUUUUAAGUUGGAUUGUGUUGUUAAAAUUUUAUGCACAAGCUAAUGAUAGUUUUUAAAUCUCAAGUUGAGUUUGUUUUGUUAUAAUGAUAGUUGCAGUGCAGCAUAUACAUAAAUGAAUGACAAGACCACUUGCAUUGGAGUAAGUGAAACAUUAGUAAGCUUAGGAACCAUGGAAUUCAGUGAUUACACUAUAAAUAGGAAAAAGGUUGAAGUUUCACAAUUGAAAGAAAUGAAUAUAAAUGCAGAUACUUAAUUUUCUUGUUAAUGUUUUUAUCACUAGAGUAACUCUCUUCAUCACUAUCCUUAUUUUCAUAUAAAGAAGAAAAAUGCACAUUAAAGUGAUUUUGUUGCUCUUUUUUCUUUUUUCCUGGGAUAGUUAUGAGUGCAUACCUCAUGUCCAUUGCUAUUUGUGUCUCUUCUAACACCUCUUCUUUUUUUCCUUCCAAAUCUGCUAACAGAACUAGCCCUUAACAUGUCUUGUACUGUUGUUCUUCUAAUUGGAAUUGUUCCUUCAGGGCAUGAUUCCCCAGACAAGCUCCAAAGCUGAAAUUUCUCACCCAAUUCUUCAAUUUGGCUGUGAUCUUUGGGCCUUUCAGGAGGAUCCUGCACAUGCAUGAAAAUUAAUACUUUUUAAUACUUCAAAAUAAACAAAUAAACUUGAAAAUGUAUGCAUGUAAUGAAGUAUUCUGAUACAACAAUUAACAAUUACCAAUGGUCUAUGUCCUUUCAAUUGAGGAUGGUCAAAAGCUGGUUGUAAAUGAGACACAACACAAUCUAUUAUAUCACCAUCAGGACUCUACAAAAAGAAGAAACAAAAACUAACCAUGUUAUGUUCCAAAACAGAGGAAGUGCAAAAAAAAAGAAAAAAAAGAUUGAAGCUUUGACAUGCCUGAAUUGUUUUAAUAGCAGGCUUAUUGAUCUGUUGCAAAUGAUUUAUGAUGACGUUCAACUUGUGAACCUCUUCCUUUGGCCUAAAAGUUUCAUUGGCAAGUGGGUAGUUGAAAAUUUCUGUGGAACAAACAGGACAAACCAAAGAAACAAGAAGAAGGAAAUGUACAAGGGUUGAAAUGAUUGAAGAGCUUAAACACAAGCUAAAAUCCAUGCUUGAGAAAUUUUGGUUCCUUGUUUCUUCUAUUGUUGUCAAAUAUGUGUGCACUUGUUUACAUUGGCCUUGUCUUCUUCUUCUUCCACGAACAAAACAAAACUGUGCAUUCCUAUAAUUUUUUGAUUCUGUCAAGGAAAAUGAAUCCAUCCAACAAAAAAAUGAUAUUCAAAGGAAACUUAAAUACUACUUCUCCAUUUUCAAUGCCUUGGAAGCAUUGAAUAACAUUAUAGUCCUUCUAUUCUGUUUCUCUCUCUUUUGAUUAUUGUGCUUAAAACUUCUAAAACUUGGGUUUUAUUACUGACAACUUGAAGUCCCAGGCGCUAGGUGAAUAAAAUAACAUGUCUCGGUGGGGUUUUCUUGAAGUUUUGCCCAUGUGGGUUGGAGGAGUACUUAUAAAUGCUAGGAUAGUUAUGAGAUCAAGACACAUUAUAAAAUUUAGAUGAAAUCAAGCCACAUUUUAAAAUGCUUGGAGGAGUACUUAAUGCAAUUAUAUAGUACUUGUCAAAUACAAGGAGUAUAUUUCAAUAAAGGUUAUAUUUUGUUAAAAAAUACAAAAUAGAUUAACAAUGAAUUGCCUAUGGAUCUAUUUUUGGGGUGAAUUGUGGAGGGGAAUGAAGAAAAAUAUAAAAUUUCAUAGUCAUAAUAAAAAUGUAUUUCAUGAAUCUCAAGUUUUCAUUUUUUAUUCUUUCUUCUCUAAAAUUUAACUCUCAAACAAAAUAGAAAUAAAGCGAUACAAAGUUAAAAUUCUUCAUAAACUUAUGUAAUGAAAAGAAACUUCCAAAUACAAAUAAGAAACAUAAAAGAACUUUUUAAGUAGGAGUAUAGUUUGCCAAAUUUGUAGAUAACCAUUAACAUCAUAAUAAAUUUGAUUGCAAUAUUAUAUAGUAUAGUUUCAGGAAAAUAAAAUGAGAAAAAAUGUAUGCACCUUUGUAAGAGUAUUUUACAUUAUCAUUGCAUCAUUCAUCAUUUAUAUUUAAUCAUCAUAUACUAUGAAAUAUAAGUAAUAAAAGUGUAUCAAAAUGUGUAUAAAUCUUUACAAUGACAAAACUCAAAUAAAAUACAAACUUCAGCCAAAUCUAACCGAAACAUUAAUUGUCAUAGAGGGUAGAUUAGCAAAUGCUACUGUCAUUUUGUGAUUGUUUCUCUUGAUAAAAAAUUUUAAUGCAAAAUUAUGUUCUUGGUGUUUUUCCAUUCCAAUUUUUUAUACCUAUAACUAUUCCAAUGAAGAGUUAAAAAUUAUACAUUUUAGACGCAGUGUACUUGGAACCAUCCAAAAUUUGUGCAAAGGCAUUUGGGGGAGAGAAAAGUGAAGCAUCAAAGAGAGAGAAAUGAAAAAGGAUAUGUUUCCAGUCUCCUAUACAAGAUCUGAAACUUUAGCUUUUGUGCUGUUAGUUUAAUAAGGCAAAAUGUGGGACUCAUGAUUUCUGUUAUUCUUUACUUUGAUUAUGAGGACAAAUUGGAAUUACUAUUGGAUUUCUAAAGUUCUCUAUUUGCUUUAAGGGUCUCCCUUUCUCACUUCCCAAGAUGUUCUAUUUUGAGUCAGCAACCCCAUUUUUAUUUAUUUAUGUAUUUUGUAUAGUAUAUAUCAUUACACUAACAUAAUCUCACUUCUUUAGAAAUAAUAAAGCUAACCCACUUUUAUUACUUAAAAAUCUAAUUUCCUUUACUUUUUUAUACUUAAUCUAUAUCCUAUGUUUUUUGGGAGGUUUGGAUAAGUUGUAAUUUGCAAAGAUAUAUGUGCAGAGAAAUUAAUUAAUUCAUUCUUUGAAGUUUGAAGUUAUUGUAGUAGUAAUAUUUGUUGAGUUUAAAAUCUGUGCACUGACAGUGUAAAGUUUUUUACACUGUCAACACAUCAUUCACCAUUGAUUUGUAUUAAUUUUGUUUAAGAGUCAAUGAUGGUUAACAAAUUAAUAGUGAAUAAUUUACUGACAGUAUAAAAAACACUUUAUACAUAUCAAAUCCAUAUCGGUUACGACUUAAGAGUAAUUAUAUUAUUCUUCUAUAAAAUUUGAUUUAAUUACAUCUAAGUAUCCAACAACAUUUUUGUUUUAGAAAUUACAUCAAUAUCAUAUAAGGUUGAUAUUAUUAUCACACUUACCCUUGAAGAGUAACAAUUAGAAUUACAAUGACAUUGUAUUUUAGAGCAUCUACAAUGCUACAAAACUUUUUUCCUUCUUAAAUGAUUUUACUGAUUAUUUUAUAUUUGUUUAUAUUUUUGAACAAUUUAAGCAACUCAAGUCAAAACCUACCACACAUUUAUAUUUAUCUCUUGUAUUAAUUUUUUUCCACUUUUAAUGUUGAUUUAUAACUUUAAGAAUAAUGCUUAUUUAGUUUAUCAUUGUGAAAUAAGAACAAAAACGACUCCUCUUCAGUAAUAAACUUAGAUGAAAAACAUGUUUAUUUUUAUAUGAACGGUUUUUUUGUUAGUAUUUUGGUCGCUCUUACGCAUCACUAUUGCAUUGACUAUAUAUGACACUCCAUUUCGUAAGGUAAGGAUGGACCCCAACCUAGUUGGCACGCGCACCUGGCUCUGUGGACUGCAUGCUCAUGUACCCUUCAUGCAUAUAAUGGUUUGUCUAAGGUUUUGGGGGCUCAAUCUUUUCUUUUGUCGUCGCUGAUGUGAACCACAUUGAGAGCAAGAACCAUAAACAAUAAUGUUUACCUACUUAACUACCUUAAUGGCACAAAUUUUACUCUAUCGUGCACACAUUCUUUUUAUUUUUAAAAUGAUGUUUAUUCUUUUUUGUUCCUAUAGACUAUAAUUACGGUCUCUUAGUGUUACUACUAUGCAGCCAUUGUAAUCGAGUUGUUGGUCAAAAUGCUAACAAUCUCAUUUGUAAUAUGUUAGGUAAGAGAUGUAAAUAUUGGGAGUAAUAAAAAAUUAAGGACAACUAAUGAUAUAAAAAACAUGAUUUGACUAGCUCAUUGUAUGCUUAAUAUAUAAGGGAGUGUAUUAGUAUUAUGCAAUUAUUCCAGUUGAUAAAGACUUAGCUUCAUGAGUUUGAUUAUUUUGCAGUUUAAGGAUAGAACUAGAAUAUUUGAGAGUUAAUUGAAUAACAGUGUAAGAGUUAAUCCAUUAACACUGCAGUUAAUGGAUUAAUUGUGCAAUAAUCGAUUAAUACUAUAGUUAAUCGAUUAACUGGAUAGUUUUUCAAUUUGUUUCAGUUAGUUAGUUUGUGUACAUAAUCAAUUAAUCAAGAGUUAAUCGAUUAUCUGGUUAACAAAUUCUGUUUUUAGUUGUUAUAUAUAGAGGUGUAUUCCUCUAAUCUUUGUAUCCCAAUUCAUUCAAUUUUAUAAUAAGAAUUUAAUUAUUUAAUGAGAAUAUUAUCAAUCUUUGUUUAUUAUUUUAUCAAGAUUUAUACAUAACUCUACCAUUUUAAGAGAUAGGAAAGUGUGGAUUUGGGAUAGUUGGAUUCAAUUAAGACGUCACUGUAGGGUCAGAUGGCGUCAUUGAUAGUCAAGGCUUACUAUCGUUGAAAAAAAUGUGUUGCCUGUCAAUCUAGCUUUCGAAAAGAAACGAAUCUUCCGGCUAUUUUUUAUAAUUGUCAUACAUAUAUAAUUUUCAUUCUUGUUAAAACUCUUUUUUUUGAAAGAGCAAAAUUGUAUUAAAAUAGCACAAGAUGUGCACACCUAAAUUUGUCAAAACUAACUUCAGUAAUCGUGAAUGUAGGAGUAUUCUCUCGUGUAAACGAGUUAUUAAAUUAACUGAAAUUUGUGAAAUGAUUAAAAAGAGCAUACACUAUUUAUUUUUUUAUUUACUAUUUAUUAGUUUUUAUUAAUCGGAUUAUAAUUCGAAAUAAUUAAAUAUGUAGAUAAGUAAAUAAAUAUUAGUAAUUUGAUAAAAUUAUUAUUAAUUUUAUAAUUAUUUAUAUACUUAGUGUAAUGUAAUUAAUGUAAUUUGGUAAAUUCUAAAAGGGUAGAAUUCACCAAUAAAUUAUUCAAAGUUCUUAAUUCUUAUGGUUUUUGAAAACCUAUUUUAAGUAGCUUUCUAAAAAUUAAUUUUCCAACAUUAUAUCUCUUUUUAAGAGUUACAAACUCCUUUUAUUUUUUAUUUAUUAAAUGGUUUUAAGAACUUAUGGUUGAGUAAAAAAACUAUAGACAAAAAGCUAGAAGCUCGAGUUUUCAAACAAUGCAAGAUAACAUAACUUAAUCUUCUUCAAUAUACACUUAUCCUUAUUAUUGUGGAUAUAGAACAAAAAAUUGAGGAGAGAAGAAUUGGAAUAUUAUAAUAGGAAAGAAUUUUUUUUUGUUAAAAACAAAAAUAUUCAAUAAUAUCAUUGGUCUCUGCUUAAAACAUCAUAGGAUACCAAUUAGUAAAAACUAUUUGGCAAGUCUUUUUUGUUUCCUAGUUGCUGCUACAUAGUUUUUGUGGACACUUUAUCAUACAUCUUCUUCAAAUUGACAAAAAAACUGUGUAUAAACACUUUUUGUUCAUCAUUUAGUAAUACAUAUUUGUUGUCAUGAUCUUUGCUCAAUUACUUUUUCUCCUAACUUUUUAGUAAACUCAAGAACUUAAUUCUUUUAUAAUUUGUAUGAUUUUGUAUACAUCCUUUAUAUUUAUAAAUAUGGAUUAAUUAAAUUGUUUUUCCUCUAUCCGCCACUUAACAUUUUUAAAUCUUAUAAUCACAUUCCUCAACGUUAACUUUGACUCCAGUUAAUCUCAUUCCUUAUGAGACCCAUCCAAACCUCCAAAAUUAUAUUAUCUUAUCCAAAUUCUUUAUCAUUAUCCGGCCAUCAUUUUCAAUGAUGCAUGUUUUACCUCAAACUGAAGUUUUACUAUAAAGGGUAUUACUUGAUUUUGCGAUGAAAGAUUUUAUAUCUUUCACUGUUCUCUGGUUUUAUGUGUUUGUUGCCUAUAGGUGUUAUUUUGUUAUAGUUAUUUUGUUUGUUGCACACAAGGAAGAGGUUGUGCAUGUGAGCAUUUAUCACCUUUUUUCUCUCUUAGCACUUAGCUGCAUAUAUAAUUUUUUAUCAACAAUAAUAUUCAUUAAAAUAGAAAAUGAGGAUAUUUAGGAGAACAAGUGAUACUUUCAUCCACAUAUUGAGACAUUAUUUCUAAGAAGACAAAGGGGUUAAACAACUAAUCUACAAAGGAGAAUUUGAAACUAAGAAAAUAAGCAUUAGGAACAUUCAAAGAAUACAGUAAAUUUGAUCUGUUUUAAUGUCCCCUAGGAACUUGGGUAACAGGGAGGGAAAGAUGUUAGAAAUGCUACUUAAUCAGUGAAUAGAAGUAAACUAUAUAAGUUGUUUCAUCUAAAUUAAUUAGUAGUUCAAUACUGUUUUUGAUGUCUAUGAGAUCGACGUAUUCCUGAGAGAAAUUGAUCUAAGUAAUAUACAAGUAUCUGGAAAAAAGCACUGAAAAAGUAAAGCACAAAAGAGAUUUCAGAGAAUUCUUUGUCACAAGGCCCCUGACCCUUGUGACCACUCUCUCAAUUAAUGAAUAUAGAUUUAUUGUCUCAACUCUCAAGUCUUAUCUUACAAUAACGAUAAUGAAUUAGAAAAACCAAUAUAAGUUUAAUUUUUUAAUAUAUAUGAUAUGUUUUUAUUAAUAUGGAAUAAAAAAUUUGAGAUAAUAUGAGACAAUAUUAUCCUUAUUCCUACCUAAUGACUCCAGUGACUUGACAUAUACUAGCAAAUAUUAAGGGUCAUAAAGAUUCUAACAUCAUACAGUUAAUACUAAAAAAUUCAGGUCAUCAAACACCCAUAACCCUCUCUAGCCGGUUGACCAAAAUUAUAGCUUUAGAGGCAACAUUGACUACGACCCAUUCCCUUUGUUCUUAUGGCAUGGGCCAACAACUUCAAAAACAACAAUUAAGAAAUGAGCUUUUCAUGGCUCAAUUUCUAGAAACCUCGAAAAGGGAGUGUUGAAUUAUUUAUCGGAUGAUGUAUGAUAUAGGGAACUAUAAGUUUGGGUUAGGUUUUAACUUACUUCGCUAAUAAGUUGUAAAAUUAUGAUAAAUUAAAUUGAUAAAUUCUUGAUCAGACUAAUUUAGCUUUGUAUUCAGUAGUUUAUUUUUUAGUCUAGCACUUUGUUUAAUUUUCUAUUUGGUUUUUUACAUCCUCUAAAAGUUAGGGUAGUUAGAUGUAUAUGUUGAGAAAAAUGUAAUUCUUCCUGCUAGACUCGUUAAUCAUUUAACCAUAUUCGAUAAUUUAUUAAACAAACUGUUUGUAUAGUUAGUUGUCUUCUAGCUAUAAAUAACAAGUGUAUUGUUUCAAUGUAAUAUAAUAUCUUUUUCCUCUUCAAGCAAAGUAUAUACACAUAUUUCUUUCUCCUACAUCUAUCUUCAUUCACUCUUUCUCGUAAGUUCAACAGUGGUAUCUAGAGCUCUUGUUUCGAUCUUGGAUCUAUGAAAAGAAGGAAGAAAGCAAGAACAACCUCCUCAUGGCAAAUAGCAGUGGAUUCACAAUGACACUACCAACGCUUGAUGGAAAGAACUACGAAAGAUGGCAUGUUCAAAUGAAGGUCAUCUUUUGUUAUCAAGAGGUUCUUGAAGUAAUGCAAGAUGAGUAUCAAACAAUGGAAGAAGAUGUUGUUGAAGCCCACAGAUCCAUAUUCAAAGAAUGCAAGAAGAAAGACUGCAAUGCUUUGUUCAUGAUUCACCAAUGCAUGGAUGAAUCAAAUUUUGAAAAGAUUGUCAAUGCCAAAAAUUCAAAGGAGGCUUGGGACAAUCUUGGUAAAUGCUAUGAAGGAGCUGAGAAGGUCAAGUAGGUGAAGUUGCAAACCUUGAGAAUGGAGUAUGAACUUUUGCAAAUAAAGGAUGGUGACACAAUCUCAUAUUACUUCACCAAGAUUAGAUCACUAACAAAUUUGAUGAAGGGAUGUGGUGAAGUAAUGACAGAUCAAUUGGUAGUGGAGAAGGUGUUAAGAAUUUUAACUCAAUUACUAUAUUUUUUAUUUGUUGUUAUUACUAUUAAAUAAAGGAACGCCUCUUUUUUAAUCAAAUUAAUUAGUUAAUGAUUAAUUACUUAAAUGAAAAAAAAUUAUUUUUUUAGUUGUGCCUGACAAUAUUGACUUUGGUCCUACGUAUCCCUAUUAAGGGAAUCAAGGCCUACGUAGUUCUGUAAGUAGAGAAAGGUUUGUUCGUUGGAUUGAUUUUAGAAAAUAUAAGUGUUAGAUCUCGACUAACAAUCCUACUAAUACAAGUGAAGUACAACUCAUACGUCCGAUACCGCAUUUUGUAUUAAGGGUUAGUUAAGAUCUUAACAUGUUUCUGAAUAAAAGAUUUUCGGUUCGUUAGUGAAUUAGUCAUGGUGAUCAUUAAGUUGUGAAGUGCAGCCCAUAUGGCCGACACUGCAUCAUAUCUUAAAAUUAGAGUGGGCCUUCGAUGGCCCAAACAACAUUUUUUUGAAAAUUUGUUUUUUAGGGCUUAGACUUUAUUUGUAUUUUCUUGAAAUGGAAAAUUUAUUAUUUUGGAAACGAAUUGGGCUUUUUCUUGGGCCGGACAAAAAUGGAUGUUCACAGCUGCCCCUCUUUACUUGUUGCUUACCUGAUAUCAAAUAAACCUGGGUUUGAGGGGUAUCAUGGUAAGUAACCAGUAAAGAAAUGAACGCUAUUUUGUCAAGGCUCAGAAAAAGUCCUUUUGAAAAGGUGCCGAAUUUGGGGUCAGGGAUUUGUUGAGGCACCCAUAUUGCCAUAAGGAGUUAGGGAUUUGUUGAGGCACCCAUGCUGCCAUAGAAAAUUUAGGGAUUUGUUUAGGCACCCGUAUUGCCAUAAGGAGUCAGGGAUUUGUUGAGGCACCCAUGUUGUCAUAGAAAAUUUAGGGAUUUGUUGAGGCACCUGUAUUGCCAUAAGGAGUCAGGGAUUUGUUGAGGCACCCAUGCUGCCAUAGAAAAUUUAGGGAUUUGUUGAGGCACCCGUAUUGCCAUAAGGAGUCAGGGAUUUGUUGAGGCACCCAUGCUGCCGUAGAAAAGUUUAUGUUCAUGCGGUCGCUAGAGGAAUCUUUAGAUAGCUUUAGAGCACUUUGUCUAAGCAAAUAGGAUGUAGCAAUGCUUUGUUUAAAUGCAUGGUUUGCAAUGAAUAGCGGUAGGACUUAUGAGAUUAGUGUCAAUGUUUGUGCAUGAAUAUGAUUAUGCUUUGAAAAGUAUGAGUAUGUUGUCAUGUAGGUAUGUUUGUUUAUGCUUAUUGAAGGACAAAGUUACGCCUCCGCAACACCCUUUAAUGCUAGAUAUGUUGAAACUUGCUAAGACAUUCGGGCAUCUCUUUUGUCAAGGUUCGUGCUUGUGACCUCCCUUUUCAUUGUUUUAGUCUCAAUGCAUCAGGACGGACUCAAAAAUUUGACCAAUCUUUUCGUAAAAAUAUUUUGUUUAUUAGAAAAUAAUUUGCAUGCUGAAAGACAUUGUGAUAUAUCAAAACCAAAUUUAUUUGCUUUCCGUUAACUUUCUAAAAAAUGAGAGUCAUACAAGCUUGCCGUAGCAAGGAGCCCCGACCCAGAUCCUACAACUAAUUCCAAUGAUUGCCCCAGUUUUUAUCGACUCUCCAACUUCCGAGUUUCUUGUUUCUGGGAGGACCCUUUAUGAAUAAUAUUUCUUCACUGCAUCCGAAUUUAUGGUGAGACGUAGAUCUUCUCCAUCCAUGUUAGUUAGGAUUAGGGCUCCACCGGAAAAAGCUUUCUUGACUACAUAUGGGCCUUCGUGGUUUGGAGUCCAUUUUCCUCGGCUGUCUUUUUGGAUUGGUAAGAUCUUCUUCAGCACCAGGUCUCCUUCCCUGAACUGGCGGGGCCGAACCUUCUUUGAAUAUGCCUUCAUCAUUCUCUUCUGAUACAACUGUCCGUGGCAAAUUGCAGUUAGUCUUCGACCAUCUAUCAGAUUCAAUUGAUCUUGUCGAGCUUGAACCCAUUCUGACUCAUUCAGGCCUGCUUCUGCCAAAACCCUUAGAGAUGGGAUCUCUACCUCCAGUGGAAGAACAGCUUCCAUACCAUAAACCAGGGAGUACGAAGUAACCCUCGUGGAAGUGCGGACUGAAGUACGAUAACCGUGUAACGCGAAUGACAGCAUCUCAUGCCAAUCUUUGUAAGUUACCACCAUCUUCUGGACUAUCUUCUUGAUGUUCUUAUUGGCUGCUUCGACGGCUCCAUUCAUCUUGGGUCGGUAUGGUGAGGAUGUGUGAUGUUUUAUUUUGAAUUUUUCGCACAUUUCAGUCAUCAUCUUGUUGUUCAGAUUGGUUGCAUUGUCGAUGAUGAUCUGAUCGGGUAACCCAUAUCGACAUAUUAACUCUCUUUUUAUGAACCUGAGGACUACCUUCCGGGUCACGCUAGCAUAGGAGUUUGCUUCCACCCACUUAGUGAAGUAAUCUAUGGCAACCAGGAUGAACCGAUGUCCAUUAGAGGCCUUCGGCUNNNNNNNNNNNNNNNNNNNNNNNNNNNNNNNNNNNNNNNNNNNNNNNNNNNNNNNNNNNNNNNNNNNNNNNNNNNNNNNNNNNNNNNNNNNNNNNNNNNNUUGAGGAUAAGGUUGCUAGUGCAUCUGCUAACCUAUUGUCUUAUCUGGGGAUGUGAUAAAAACUCACUUGAUCAAACUGUUCAUUCAACUUCUGGAUGUAAUUUUUGUAGGGCACCAAUUUGCUGUCACGAGUUUCCCAUUCUCCUUUUAUCUAGUGGAUUACUAGGGCAGAAUCUCUAAAUACUUCUAGGAUCUUUGCUUUUGCAUCAAUAGCAAACUUCAGUCCCAAAGCGCACGCCUCAUAUUCUGCUAUGUUAUUGGUACAGUCAAAGCAUAGUCGGGCAGUAAAGGGAAGGAACUUCCCUUCCGGAGAUACCAACACAGCACCUACUCCAUGCCCGAACGCGUUGGAGGCCCCAUCAAAGACUAGGGUCCAUUUUUCUUCUUCUCUUGAUUCAUCGGAUAAAGCCAUGAUGUUCUCACCUGGAAACUCAUACUUCAUAUGCCCCAGUUUGUCUACAGGUUGAUCGGCCAAGUAGUCAGCAAUAACACUUCCUUUCACAGCCUUUUGCGUCANNNNNNNNNNNNNNNNNNNNNNNNNNNNNNNNNNNNNNNNNNNNNNNNNNNNNNNNNNNNNNNNNNNNNNNNNNNNNNNNNNNNNNNNNNNNNNNNNNNNCUCAGCAUAUAUUGUCUCAAACGGCGAGAGGCCCAGACUAGAGCGCAACAUGUACGUUCUAACAAUGAGUAUUUUAUUUCGCAAGCUGUGAAUUUCUUGCUCAAAUAAUAGAUUGUUUGCUCCUUUCUUCCACAAUCACCACGCUGCCCCAAGACGCAUCCCAUAGAUUCAUCAAGUACAGUGAGAUAUAGAAUCAAUGGUCGCCCUGGAAUUGGAGGCAUCAACACUAGAGGCUCGGUCAAGUAUUGCUUUAUCUUUUCAAACGCUGAUUGACAAUCAUCAUUCCACCUUACUGCCUGCUUCUUCCUCAAGAGUUUGAAUAUCGGUUCACAGGUGGAUGUCAGUUGCGAGAUGAACCGGGAAAUGUAAGUGGCCCAAACAACAUUUUUUUUUUGAAAAAUUGUGUUUUAGGGCUUAGACUUUAUUUGUAUUUUCUUGAAAUGGAAAACUUAUUAUUUUGGAAACGAAUUGGGCUUUUUCUUGGGCCGGACAAAAAUGGGUGUUCACAAUCAUCAACUAUGUGUUAGGGCCCAAAUUAAGAAUGGGAGGCCUAAGAGAAACUCAGAAAAACCUACAUGGUUAAAUGAUUAUGUUUAAAAAUAAAUAGUUUGUUAGGACAGUUGUCCACUUAUGAUGAUCUAACCAAGUGUAUGGUGUAGAUCAUUUCUAUCCUAGAUAUUUUCUAUUUCACCUCUUUAAAUUGUAAAAGAAUGCUGAGAGUAAAGCAAGCAAUAUAUGAAUUUAGUAAUAUUUUCUUAGUGUUAUUACUUUUCUUUCUGUUUCUGGAAAUUUCCUUGAAGUGAUAUUAAUCUUCCUAACAAUUUUGGUGCUUUCAUUACUUCUUUCAUGCCUCCCAAAAACUCUCAAAAGGACCAUGGGGAGAGUGUCACUCAGCUCCUUAUGGAGAAAUUAUUGGAACACCAAGAACAACGUGAUGCUCGACAUGCCGCAAUCACUACUGUCUUGAACAGCUACCACAUUGGCAACCCAAUCUGGGUAUUCAACAACUUUAACAAACCCAGGUGUCAACCAUUUCUCUACUUCUUCCUCGACUCGUAAGGAGAUCUCUGGCUUGAUCCUUCGUAGCUUCUGCUUCACCGGCCUGGAGUUGGGUAUUAGUGGUAACUUAUGCUCUACUAUACCUCGGUCUAGUCCCGACAUCUCUUCAUAUGACCAAGCAAAGACGUCCUUGAAUUCGUGUAAGAGUUUGACUAGCCUUUCUCGUUCCUUAACGUCCAUCGUGGUGCCUACUUUCACUUCCUUCUUAUCUUCCUCAGAACCCAGGUUGACGAGUUCGACAGGCUCUCGGUGUGGUUGAAUCUCUCUGGCUUCUUGCUCUACCAGUCUGAGUAGUUCUGGGGGAGCCUCCCAUUCAUCAUCACUGUCCUCUUCCACUUGGUUGAUGGGUUGGUCAGAUCUGGGGGAGGGCUCACCAGCAUGGCCCUCACUUUCAGAAUCGCUAUUGGAUCUGCAAUACGGGGAUGACCGAGUCAGCUCCCCAUAAAUUUGGUUUUAAUUUUAGUGACUUUUUUUGUUUUUUGUUUUUUGUUUUUAAUGAUUUUCUUUCAGCAUGCAAUUAAAAAAUGCAAAAGAGACAAGUUGUAAUGAUAAAAAAGAUAGAUCUUUAUUAAUUGGAAAAAACACGGAAACAAAUGAGCCCUUAUUGAAAAACAUAAAAAAUGUCUACUAGCUUUGGGCGUAGCUAGAAGACUACAUUUAUUUAUUACUUUGGUUCUAGGGAAACUGAUGCAUGCGCUUCUUCCCUCCAAUUAUUCAAGCGGGUACCGGGGGGACACAUGUACACGAACCCAGACUCUUCCUCCAUGCCUUCUUCUUCUAUGAUGGCCACCAUUCCUGAAAUCCUGGUACUGCUGCUAACAAAGCUCUGACUGAUGUGCGGUAUUGGAAGUUUUGCCACAACCUCAUUUCUGACAUGCCCUAGCCGAGCCCCACGACCACUUUUCCUUCCUCCUAUAGUUUGGAGCUCGUCUUCAUGUGUAGGUCUAUCCCCCAAGUCAUAUUGACCUUUAUUAGCUUUGGGUAUUAGGACUUCUUUGCAGCCUUGUCCAUACCUUCCCAAUCCUCUACCAGGUUGAUACCCCUCACGGAUCAUCAUGUUUGCCACCACAAGAGAAGCAUCUAAUGGAUAAAGAUUCAGCUUUGGUGCACCUUCUAUCAUGAAUGUGGUGUCUGCAAUCUCGAGACGUUGGAAUGAUGUCUCUAAUGCCUCUUCAAUCACUUCGACGUAGCGGAUGUCAAAUGGCUGGGAUACCAUCACAUCUUCUUCCCCCGAAACUGUUAUCAACCUUCCAUCAACUACAAACUUUACUUUUUGAUGCAUGGUAGAUGGUAUUGCUCCUGAAGAGUGAAUCCAUGGACGUCCCAACAAGCAGCUAUACGUGGGAUUGAUAUCCAUUACAUGAAACAAAAUGUUAAAUGUGCAUGGUCCUAUCUUGAUCGGUAACUCCAUCUCCCCCAUCACAUCUCUACGGGACCCAUCAAAACCCUUAACAAUCAUUGAGCUGCCCCUCAAGCAGGAGGCGUCUACUGGCAACCUAGAGAAGGUCUGCUUUGUCAUCACAUUCAGGGACGUCCCAUUAUCUAGGAGGACUUUACCAAUCACACAGUCAUUACACAUUACUAAGAUAUGCAGGGGGCGAACAUGUCCGGUGCCCUCAGGAGGUAAAUCUUGGUCACAAAAGGAUAUGUAAUUGUCCGCUACAAUGUUGUUGACUAUCCCCCCAAAUAUGUCAGUUGUAAUGUCGUGGUUGACGUGAGCCUGGUUCAAUACCUUCAGCAGCAUAUNNNNNNNNNNNNNNNNNNNNNNNNNNNNNNNNNNNNNNNNNNNNNNNNNNNNNNNNNNNNNNNNNNNNNNNNNNNNNNNNNNNNNNNNNNNNNNNNNNNNCCUCGCUAUCAUGGGUUCCAUUUGUCGAAUGAAUGGUUCCCAUUGGUGCUGAAUGAAGUAUGUCUGAACUCCUCCAGGUGGAUUUAUCACAGGUUCGUACGUGCGUAUGAAUACAGGUAUCUCCUUCUGGUGCUUCUCUAAGACAUUAAUCCCAUGGCCUCGUGUUUUUUCACUUAUGGCAAUUAGUUUCAAGUCCAUCAUUUUUUGAAGAAGUAACUUGAACUCCUUGCAAUCCUCCAAACAGUGGCCCACACGGCCAUGCAUCUCACACUUUUCCAUAUCAUUGCUAUCUGACUCCUGGAUAACAACCUCUGCCAAACCUUGUCUGCAUAUCUCUCGGAAAAUGAAGCUCAUGGGCAUCUUCACAUCAUCAACUUUGCCAGCAAUUACAACCUUGUUCUCCUCUAGAAUAGCAUUCACUCCUUGAUUUCCAUGGUUUGGUAGAGGAUUUCCAGUUAUGUUGGGUCUAGUCUCCCGGAAAUCUAUCCGAUUGGCAUUGAUGAGGUCCUGAACUCUGUACUUGAAGGCCAUGUAGUCUUCUACCAGAUGUCCUACAGCUCCAGAAUGGUAAGCGCAGUUGACUUUUUCAUUGUGCCAUGGCCCAGGGUUCUCGUAGACUCCUCCAGGGACUGGUGUGAUCAUCCCCUGCCCUAGUAGAUAUGCAAAAAGCUCUGUAUAGGUUAUUGGGAUCUGGUCAAAUACGGGUGCUCUCCUUUCGUGUUGGUUAUAGGUAUUGUUUCUGGGGUAAUGAGUAUACCCUUGUCUGGGUUGGUGUAUGUUAUUGUUUGGAGGAGGGGGGUUAUGGGUGGUUGGAUUCCGUGUUUGGUUUUGGCUUUGAUUGUGGUUCUGUGCAAACCGAGAGGGUGCAUGAUGAUUGUUUUGAUUAUUGUUCCGGGACUGGAACUUCUUUGGCUCGUCAUCGAUGAAAUGAGUCUCUGCCUCCUUUUUCUUCAUGAAAGUGGGCUUCUUGCUAGAGCUUGAACCUUCAUCGGAAAUCUUCCCGUUCUUGAUACCUCCUUCUAUCUUCUCCCCUACUUUGAUGAGAGCAUUGAAGUUGGUUGUCACGCUUCCUAUGAGGCGUUCAUAAUAUGGAUUAUGCAGAGUGUCGAUAAAGAUCGACAGUUGUUCAUCUUCUUCUAAUCGCGGAAGGACUUGGGAUGCUAGUCCCCUCCAACGCUGAACAUAUUCUCUGAAAUUCUCAGAUGGUUUCUUACACAUAUUCUGUAGUUGAGUCGUGUCUGGUGCAGCAUCCUCAUUGUACUUGUACUGUCUGAUGAAGGCGUUGGAUAGGUCCAAGAAGGUCCUGAUCUGAGUCUUCUCCAGGCAGAUGUACCAAUUCAUAGCCACCCCGCUAAACUGUCUUGGAAGCAGUGGAUCAACAACUUAUCAUUCCCGUGAUAUGCUAACAUCUUUCUGGCAUACAUGUGUAAAUGGCUUUUGGGACAUGUAGUCCCAUUAUACUUCUCGAACUCAGGUACUUUGAAUUUGGGAGGGAGUACCACAUCAGGCACCAAACACAUCUCAAAAGCAUUCUUCAGAUCCACACAGUGGGCUCGUUCAAUAGCCCUCAAUCUAUCUUCUAUUGAGCUCCAUUUCUCUUCCUCUUUCUCCGUGUUUGGGGUGUUACUACCUAGAGGAGUCCUUUGGGUCCCGUCAUGAUUCUACCUUCCAUUUGCUUGAUGGUUGGCAUUCGAAUGUCUUGUGUUGGUGUCAUGACUUUCAUGAGGCUGACCAGUACCGACCCCUAGAUUGGGACUUCCGGAUCCUGAAUGAGGUUGUGGCCCAGCAGUUGCAGUCUUCUCUUUCUCGCUCUGGAGGUUCUUUAGGAUGCGAAACAUCUCUGCCAUUUGCUCUUUCAAGCUAGCUAAUUCAGUCCGGGAAUCCUGACUGGAGUCUGAAGAGUAGGCCAUCUGUCUAGCUCGGAGUCGGGUGUGGUAGGGGUGUUGCGGAGCAAUGCUAAUUGAAAAAAUGCAAAUAGUUAAAAAAAUGUUUUGUUUGUUUUUAUUUUUUUAUGCAAAAUUUUUUGUUAGUAUAACAAGUAUGAUGAAUCCCUUAUUCGAGAGUCGGGGAGCGCAGUCCGUCGACCCUGCUAAAGCAAUUUUCAGAAGAGAAAUUUCCACUAUGUGGUUGCAUCUUGGACAAAAUAUAGCAAUGUUGACCCCCUCAUAUUAUUUGUUUUUUUUCCUUUUCUUUUCCUUUUCUUUUUAUUGAGACAAAUGUGGACAUAACAAGUAAUUUUAUUGAUAAAAACGAUAAAAGGGGAAUCACAUCAAUCGAUUUCCUCAUUUUUAUUCCAAAUGUUUAUUCUAAAAAAACUAAAAUUCUGCGGUCUUCUUCCUCCACCUCUUGAGCCUUCGAGCAAUGGGGGCACAAUUGUCGAAAAAUGUCUUCAUAGUAGGGAGCAUUUCAGUUUCUGGAUACAUGUGGACCUCAUGGUUUGCAGACUCAAAAGUUACAAGCCAAUCAUCAGCAAGGUCCUCAAUCCCAUCAAUGAUGUCAAUACACCUUCUUUCCACAACUCUUUAUCUUCCCUACAUUCCUCCAAAGCUUGCUCCCAAUUGUGUGACCAUGUCUCCCUUUCUCCCAUCAACUGAUCAUAAGCUUGUUGAAGUUCUCUCACUUGAUCUAUGAGCUGGUUUCUUUCCCUAUGCAUGUCCUCCAGAGUCCUACGGCGUAUUUCUGCUUGGUCAUCUACCAUGGCUCGAUACCGUUCUUCUCUGAUGAGACCUUGACGAAUAGAGUUCUCACAUUCAUCCACUUUCGCUCAGGCUUCAACUGCACCGGCCCUUUGUUGCUCUACUUCGGUUUUGAGUUCUUCUAUGGCUAUACGACUCUCCUUACCUCAUUCCUUAAGUUAAAGAUGGCGCGAUCACGAGCCCUUAGACGUGCCCCAAGAUCUUUGAUUUCCCUUUCCUGUGAGGCACGCAACUCUGCGUAGUCAUAUUUUAGGCUAGCCACCUCUUUCUUCAAACCUGAGUUUAAUUUGUUGAGCUUUUCUAUCUGGAAACCAUCUUUCUCAACCAUGUUCCUUGAUUCUUCAACUUGACCCUCAAGGAUUUUAAUCCUCCGUUGAAGAUUGAUUUCAUGCUGGGACGGUCCCUCAUUUUCCUUAGGCAUGAUGAUCUAGAUAUUGGUUUUAUUUGCCAUCCUAUUUUUUCUCCAUAACUUAUACUCUUAUGUAUAGAAAGCCUGAUGCUCUCCUAAUUCAUUCUUUCCAUAGAAGCGAAUGUUGUGUAAAGCUCUUCUUACUUCAUUGAGAACCUCAUUAGAAGUAUUUUUGUCUUUAUAUAAGAAAACAAAUNNNNNNNNNNNNNNNNNNNNNNNNNNNNNNNNNNNNNNNNNNNNNNNNNNNNNNNNNNNNNNNNNNNNNNNNNNNNNNNNNNNNNNNNNNNNNNNNNNNNUGAGGAUCCAAAUGCCUUCCAAUUUUUCUGCUCUUCCAUUUUGAGGAUGUGCUUCUUAAGGUACGUCCAUUUCAAGCCUUCGAACUUCUCUUGCUUUAUGAUAUUCUGGAUUCCUAGGCGUGCCCCUAUCAUUUCUUCAAUAUACCCCUCGGUUAACUUGUGAUCCCUUGUGAAUAGGUAGACUUUCGAUCGAUCCAGCACCGGAAUACCCAACAACAUUUCAUAUUCCUCCACCGUCGGGGAUGCAUCAAACUCAGGGAAUUCAAACACUCUUAAUUCUGGGUUCCAAUAUUGGAUCAUGAUCUCCAUAGCUUUUAGUGUCUCGGGUUCAAUAUGGACAUUAAGUAGAUCGAUGAGUCACCCAUAUGUUUUGGUGAAACAUUCUUGUUCUUCUGUGGGAAUUCAUUGACUGCAUUCUAUAAGGAAAUUUAUAUCAUUUAUUUGUACCUCCACUUUUGUCCCUUGUUUGGGUGCCUCAACAUUGCUAUAUUUUGGAUCCAUGGGACUCGUACCUUGCUAUAUAACGAAAUUUUUUUAUGAAAAGAAAAGUUAAUCUUAAAAUGUGCGUGAAUGCAUGAUCAUGCAUGUAUAACAAAUAAUUUUCAUAUCAAUAGACUAAUGCAUGUAAAAUAAAUUUUUCAUAAUAGUAUAAUAAUGCGUGUGCAUGUAAAUAAUAUGAUAAUGCAUGAGAAAUGAAUAAUUUUCUUAAUAGUUUGAUAGUGUAUGUUAAAAUGAUUUUUAUAAUAUAAAAUAAUUUUCAUAAUAGUGAUAAGGUAUGUGAAACAAAUACUUUCAUAAUAUGCAUUUAUUGUCCUAUUUGGGUACACUUAUUGGGUUUCCUGCAAUCAUAACUAUUAGGUAGGAUUUAAGGCCUUUACAUUACCUGCGAUCAUAACUAGUAGGUAGGAUUUAAGGCCUUUACGUGACACAACUUAUGGGGUAUCCUAAAGGUGCCCAGAUUACUUCUCUCUCCAAUAGAGAAGCCCAAAUAUUCUAGGGAUUACAAGUGGGAUGGACCACACCGAUAAGGCUCAUUAUAUUUGGUGACAAUCUGAGUGGUUCACCAUGCCAAUACAAGUGGGAUCCAGAGUCCACACCGGCAGGGCGGAUGUUCCUUUUUAAUCUAAUGCUCGGGCAUAGAGCACAUACAUAAAUAUUAGUACGACGGUGCACCACAUAAGCAAUAAUAACAAUAACAACAACAAAAGAAAAUAUAUGAGCAACAAUACAAUAAUACAACCAUGUAUUCAAUAUUUAUGGGUCGGACUCUCUCAAAAAAGUCCCCAGCAGAGUCGCCAGCUGUCGCGCCCCGAUUUUCGGCUACGCGACCUCUCGAGUCGCCACUACAUUUUUUAAAUGUAGAAAUAUAUUUUUUAGCCCAAUUACCUUGGGCUUUUUGGAUUUUUGAUAUCCAGGUUCGGAAGUCGGUUACGGGGUGGGGAAUGUAUUAGCAUCCCACCCGCCCGCCUUAGGCGGUACCCUAUACUAAACCACAUGAGUUACUAUAUUUUUUAUUUGUUGUUAUUACUAUUAAAUAAAGGAACACCUCUUUUUUAAUCAAAUUAAUUAGUUAAUGAUUAAUUACUUAAAUGAAAAAAAUUUAUUUUUUUAGUUGUGCCUGACAAUAUUCACUUUGGUCCUACGUAUCCCUAUUAAGGGAAUCAAGGCCUACGUAGUUCUGUAAGUAGAAAAAGGUUUGUUCGUUGGAUUGAUUUUAGAAAAUAUAAGUGUUAGAUCUCGACUAACAAUCCUACUAAUACAAGUGAAGUACAACCCAUACGUCCGAUACCGCAUUUUGUAUUAAGGGUUAGUUAAGAUCUUAACAUGUUUCUGAAUAAAAGAUUUUUGAGUCGUUGGUGAAUUAGUCAUGAUGAUCAUUAAAUUGAUGAAGUGCAGCCCGUAUGUCCGACACCGCAUCAUAUCUUAAAAUUAGAGUGAUUGUCGUCUUAGAAUUAAUAAUGACUUUAUCAUAAAAAAAUGUAGUAAUUAUUUUAAGGACAUUGAUAACAAGAAAAUUCAAAAUGGUAUAAAAUACUAAUAGAAAUGUGAUUUAUUCCAAACACUUAAAACUUACACAUUGUAUUUUAUGUUUGGUUUCCCCUAACAUUGCAUAUAUUAGAAUUUGGAUACUUAUUAACAUGAAUAGAAUAAAAAACAAAUAUUAAGUGACAUGACAUCAAAAUACUUACACUAGAAUUAUCGUAAUGAAAUUAAUUAAGUUGCACACCCAGGGAUACAAAUUUUUAUCAUGUAAUAGAAUUGAACGACUUUAUUAUUAUAUUUAAUUAUUACUCUUAGCAUUUGAAUAGCGAAUUUAACGUUCACUAUGAAAAAUGGUGCAAAUAAAAAAUAACAAUGAAAUUUCAUUACAAUGACAGAUCCAAUUAAUUUUAUACUCCCAAAUUACAUUCAUGAAGUUUUAAUUGCCUAUGCAUGAUUAAAUUAUUUAUCAUUAUGAUAAUGACAAUUUUCAUGAUAUAAUAAUUUAGCAUAUAUAACAGGACGAUAUUAAUGCAAAUAAGGAACAUCUAAAAUGCAUACCUGAUAAGCAAUGAAUAAAAUCCAGCACAAAAACAAAAACACGCGUGGCAGGAAGAGAUUGGAGGGAGUUUUUUAUUUUCCAGCACCUGGACACAUGUCAGCACCAGAUUGGGGGAGCGAGAGGGUGCACCGAUUGCACGGUGCGCCUACCUGUGCUGGAUUCGUCCAGACACGUGGCGCGCGGAGACUGGAUGGAAGGGUGGGCUCACGGCUUGAGCAAUUCGCACGCGUGCAGGGGAUCCGUGCUCUCCUAGGAAGGAUCUGGUGCGGCAUGGUGUAGUGAGACCGGGACGCGUUUCAUCCCGUGAUUGGUUGACACGGAGCGUGAAGGGGACCAGUCCACGUGGCACCCUGCGAGGCGUUGGAUGAACGAAGGUGUAGGAAAACGCGGUGUGCGUGCCUACACUGGAUCCCGUCUUCUUCUGGGAGCGUGAUCCUAUGUGGUAAGGUGCAUCAACAAGGUGCACCAUUUCACGCGCUGAUUGGCUGGACUCACCUGGUCAACGCGGAUGCAAAAAAAGUAGGACAAUCCUAGGGCUCUGGAUGUGGGUGCACGGGUAAGCGAUGAAACCACUCUCGCAGGAUUGUUUCUCGCAAGUUUUUUUAUUUUUAUUUUUUCUCUUCUUUCACAAAACACGUUUGGCAGGGUUUUGGGAGCCUUUUUUGGUUGUUUUGGCAGUGUUUCAGUGUGUCUUUUCUCUUCUCCCUAAACCUUUAUUUAUAGGAAAAAAUUUCACACUAAAAAUGUCAAGAAUCUGUCUAUGCUUUUAAUUUUUUUACAAAUCAAAUAUUAUAAUUAAUAACCUCAAUCAGCCUGAUUUGAUUCCCUAUUAACCAUGCUAUCUAAAAAAAUUGAUUUCAAAUUUGAAUUUGAAUUUCAAAUCUGAAAUUUGAAUUUCACAUCUCAAAUUUGAAUUUAAAAUCUGAAAUUUGAAUUUCAAAUCUGAAAUUCGAAUUUAAAUUUGAAAAAUUGAAAAAUUAUUCCUUAUUAGUUUGAAUUUAAAAUCUUUUUGAGAAAAUCUUUUAAUUUUUUUAUUAUUUUUGUUUUAUCCGAAAAUAAAUAUUUAGGAGAAAGAUAAUCAUUUUUUUUUGAAAUUUGAAAAUUAAUAAUAAUAAUUUUUUUUAUCCAAUUAUGAUUUUAAGCGUGAUAUUUUAUUUAAUUGCUAAAAAAUUCUGAAAAAUAUUUUUAAAAUAUCUUUCACCGUCUUCUAUUUAUGGAAAGCCAUUUCGAAAAAAACAUUUUUUCUACUUUUUUAUUCUUUUUGUUUUGGAAGAUGACAUGUGGGCCUUCGAUGGCCCAAACAACAUUUUUUUGAAAAAUUGUUUUUUAGGGCUUAGACUUUAUUUGUAUUUUCUUGAAAUGGAAAAUUUAUUAUUUUGGAAACGAAUUGGGCUUUUUCUUGGGCCGGACAAAAACGGGUGUUCACACUUGUAUGUGCCCAAGAUGACAAUCAAUUUGUUGAUCUUUGGUCAAUUGAUUGAGAAAGGAUAUUUUACACACCAAAUUUUGAUCGGAGUAAUAAAUUUUUUCAAAAAAUAAUAAUAAUAAAUUGAUGAGUAAAUAAAAGUUGGAUGAAAAUUAAGAGAGUAAGGCAAUUGGGCUUUUUUUAGCCCAUUCAGGUUAGGGUGGGAAACCUUAAUCUACCUCCUUUAUAAGCUUAUUUUAGUAAGGAGGUGAGGAGGGGGAAAAAGAGGCUAACUAUCAAGCAUCAUAAAUUAAAGAGUGGUCUGUCCGCUAAGGUUGGUGUCAUCAAGCAGCAAACUAAUUUUUUCCAUAACACAUCUAAGAAGGUUUUAAAUGUUGAACAAAAUGCUGAACAUUCCAAGCUAAGGAUUUAUAUUCCUAGAGAGCCAUCCCUUGAAGCAGUUCAUAAAGCACAAAGGACAAUACCCAAAAAAAAAAUGUUGCAGAUGCAACGCUGGAUGCCUCUAGAUUCAAAGCGCGUCGGUACAUUUUUUUUAACCAAAUGAAAUGUUUGACUUUGAUUUGCUCCUCUUCUUAUAAAUAUCCUAGGAGUUAAUUAGAAUCAUUGUUUUCUUACCCUUUUACUAGCAAAAUUUAUAAGUGGUUGUUAUGUGUAAGCAUUAUUAGAAACUAAAGGUAGAUUUGACGUUGUCUUCAUUUACUGGAAUAUGUUUUGUUGGUUUUACUAAGCAAGUGACUUAUUUAAAGUAUUAGUUUUUAAUAACAAUAACAAUAAUAUAUCAAAUAUUGGCAAAGGAAAGGGUAAUAGAUAUCAAAGAAUUGAAGGAUACUCCUCUUCAUGUUCCUAGUGCAUCUAUAUUAUAGUGUUAUGUGGUUGCAUUUUAGUCAAAUUUAGCUUGGUCCUUAUACUUGAUAUUUUAGAAAUAUGAUUUAUGCAUAGUCCUCACUAUUUGCACAUUUUAGUAACUGAUUGGUUUUAUAAAAUGGAGAGUGGUAGAGACAGAAUGAGGAUGAGAUUAAGAUGUUGCUUUUUACAUUUACUUGAUUUUUUUAUAAAAAAAACAAUGAAAAGUAAUGCAUUAUAUGAUUAGUUCUCUGUCGCGUUACUUUAUGUUGUCUAAAAUCAAAGAGAUAUAGUGCACUAUGGGACUCGUUUCCUAUCGUAUUAUCUUAAAUUGACAUUUUCAAAAAAAUAAGUUAAUUAAAUCAAUGAGAGGUAGGCACUAUAGGACUUGUGUCUUGUCGCGUUACCUUAAAUUGACAUUUAAAAAAAUAAGUUAACUAAAUCAAAGAGAGGUAGUGCACUAUAAGAUUUGUGCUCUGUCGCAUUACCUUAAAUUGAAAUUUUCUUAAUUAAGUCAAUGAGAGGUAGUUCAUUAUGAGACUUGUACCCCCUGUCGUGUUACCUUAAAUUGCAUUUUCAAAACUAAAUCAAUAAGGGGUAGUGCACUAUAGGACUCGUGCAUUGUCGCCUUAUCCUAAAUUGACAUUAUCAAAAUAACUUAAUUAAAUAAAUGAGAGAUAGUGCACUAUGUGACGUGUGCCCUGUCGCGUUACCUUAAGUUAACAUUUUCAAAACUAAAUCAAUGAGAGGUAGUGCACUAUGGGACUAGUGCCAUAUCGCAUUAUCUUAUCCUAUUAUUUAAAAAACAAGAAAUAAAUAAAAUAUAUCAACUAAUCAACUUUUUUCCUGAAAGAACUAUGUAGCCUUUAUUUCUCUAUUGCAGCUAGAGAUACGUAUGAGCAAUUAUUUCUCUGUCAGGCACAUAAAAAUAAAAAUGUUUUUUUUCUUCUUUAUUUUGUUUAAUAAGGUGAUGGUAAAAUUAAUGGUUUGGAAUAAAUAUCCACAUAAGUGAUCUAGGUACCGUUUUUUAUAACAGGCGGUAUGAGGUGCCUAAUACCUUACUCAUCCGUAACCGACUCCCAAACUCAAUUUCUAUUUUUGAGCAAAUCAACCAUAUUUUUAAAAAUUGGUUUUUCAUGUUUUUCCUUUAAAAAAUAUCGAUGGCGACUCCAUUGCAUUUAAUUGUAUAUUUCUCGUUGCAAACACAAAAGUGGGGUAGCGACAAAUAUACAAUGUUGAUAGCAUAUAAAAAGUUGAAGAUGUUUGAUUGUGACAAGAACGUGAUCUUGAAGGCUCCAUUAUUCGCCAACAGAACGUUAAGGUUAGGAUUCAAGUUGACAAUCACAUAUGCUUGAUGUCCAAGGCUGCUCACGAAAGUUGGAUAUGGCAUCAAAGGUAUGGCCACUUGAACUUCAAAGGCCUGAAUUUUCUGAACAGGAUCGGAGUUGUAAUUGGUUUGCCCCCUAUCAAAACUCCUAGUGAAUAAUGUGAUAUUUGUCUUGCAAAUAAGAAGACAAGAAAUUUAUUUGAUGUUUACACUCCAACUAAAACAACAUGGCCACUUGAGUUGGUAUACUCAUAUGUGUGUGGACAUUUUGAGGAAAAUUUACUCGGGGAUAACAAAUACUUUGUGACAUUCAUUGAUGAUUUUACAAGGAAAACAUGGGUGUACCUGAUCAGGAGGAAGAGUGAUGUAGUUUCUACUUUUCUCAAUUUUAAGGCUCAAGUUGAAAGACAAAGUGAGUAGAAGUUGAAAUCAUUGAGAACAUAUGGUGUUGGCGAAUACCUAUAAAGUGAAUGGAAGGAUUAUUGUGAUAAGGAGGGGUUGAUCCAUGAAAUAAUGUCACCAUACAUUCCACAACAUAAUGGUAUUGCUUAAAGGGAGAACAAAACCAUAUUGAACAUGGCUAGAAUCAUGUUGAGAUCAAAGGAAAUUCCCAAGAAGUUUUAAGGAGAAGUUGUCUCAACAACUGUGUACAUUUUGAAUAGAUGUCCUACAAGAAGACUUGGUGAAGUUACUCCUGAAGAAGCUUGGUUAGGUUUAAACCAAGUGUGGGUCAUUUUAAGAUCUUUGGCUUAAUCUGCUACAAGCAUGUCCUUGAAGUGUAAAGGAGGAAGUUGGAUGACAAAGGUGAAAAACUAAUCCUACUUGGCUACCACUCCAUAUGUGCAUAUAGAGUCUUCAAUCCCUUGACUUAGAAUAGAAUGCUAAGUAUGGAUGUGAAGUUUGAUAAAUGACAAAGCUGGAAUUGGAGUGAAAAUAGUGGUGGAUCGGAAAAGCAUCCUAUGUUGUUGCACUUGAUAAAGAUGCACUAGGAGACCAACCAUUGUUUGUUGAGCAACCAACUGUAGUUAAGGCUCAGAAUCAAAGAAGAUGUCAUAGAAAUUGACAAGCUCCAUCAAGAUUGAGUGAUUAUGAAGUCUUUCCAGACUUAGAAGUCACUAUAGAGGGUGAAGUGGUUCAUAUGACCCUAUUGGCAGAGAUGAAACCUGUGAAUUUUGAAGAAGUAGUCAGCAAAAGUCAUUGGUUGGAUACUAUGAAAGAAGAACUAAAUCCCAUUUAGAAGAAUCAAACCUGAGAGUUCACUCCAUCACCAAUUAGCAAGAAGGCAAUCUUUGUGAGAUGGAUAUAUAAGGUAAAAAUAAAUCCAAAAGGAGAGGUAGUCAAGUAUAAGGCAUGGCUUGUAGCAAAAAAAAAUUCCACAAAGACAAGGUCUUGAUUAUGAUGAAGUGUUUGCUCUUGUUGCAAGGUUAGAAACCAUAAGAUUGGUGGUUUCCAUGGCAAGUUAUCAUAGUUGGCACAUACAUUAAAUGGAUGUUAAAUCAACCUUCCUAAAUGGACCACUAGAAGAAGAAGUUUUUUGUCACUCAGCCAUCUAGUUUUGAGGUUGCAAGAAAGGAAGAUCUAGUGUAUAGACUGCAUAAUGCUCUUUAUGGCCUCAAGUAGGCCCCAAGGGCCUGAAAUAGAAGAAUUGAUGGGUUCUUGUUGCAGCUUGGUUUUGCCAAGUGUAGAGUUGUGUAUGGAGUGUACAUAAGGGGUACAAACAUAGAUGAAUUGCUAGUAGUGUGCCUCUAUGUUUAUGAUUUAUUAGUAACUAGUAGCAGCAUUGGAGAAUUGGUGCAUUCAAGGAAGAUAUGAAAACUGAGUUUGAGAUGUCUGACUUGGGAAAUCUAUCUUACUUCCUUGAGAAAGAAUUCACAAGAACCAAGACUGGAAUCUUCAUGCAUCAGAGGAAAUACACCUCUGAUUUGUUGAAAAGAUUUCAAAUGGAAGGCUGCAAUUCAACAUCCACACCUACUGAAGUUAGCAAUAAAACUGAUGCACUUGAAGAAGAUUCAGUGGUGGACAAAACUCUAUAUAAAUAGAUGAUAGGGUGCAUGAGAUAUGUAUGCAACACAAGGCCAUAUAUUGCAUAUCGUGUAGGCUUUGUGAGCAGGUACAUAGAGACACCAAAGAAGUCUAACUUACCUUCAGUCAAGAGGCUACUGAGAUAUGUGAAGUGAACAAUUGAACUUGGCUUGAUGCUUCAUGCCAAAGCCAACAGCCUCAAUCAGAACAUGCUUGGGUUUAGUGAUGGUGACUAGUGUGGAGACAAGAGUGAUAGAAAGCGCACAACAAGUUAUGUGUUCAUGUUUGGUGCUCCUCCAAUCUUUUGGUGCUCAAAGAAGCAAGAUGUGGUUGCAUUGUCUUCAUGUGAAGCAUAAUAUAUAGAUGCUUGUAUGACUGCUUGUCAAGCCCUAUGGUUAGAAAUUGUGUUGACAUAAUUGAAGCUAAGAAAAGAGGAAGAAAGCUUGUUGUUGAUAGUUAACAACAAGUCAACAAUAAAUCUUGCCAAGAAUCUAGUGGCACGUGAGAGAAACAAGCACAUUGAAACAAGAUUUUACUUUCUAAGAGACCAAGUGAGUAGAGGAAGUUAAAGUUGAAAUUUUGCAUAUCUGAAGAGUAAAUUGUAGAUAUUCUAACCAAGCCAUUGAAGAAUGAAAGGUUUGAAGAACUUAGACAUAAGCUUGGAGUCAUUGGUCUAAGCCAGUUUGAAUUAGGGGAGAAUGUUGAAAAAAAUGUAAUUCUUCCUGCUAGACUCGUUAAUUGAUUAACCAUAUUCGUUAAUCGAUUAAUCGUACUCGAUAAUCAAUUAAACAGAUUGUUUAUAUAUUUAAGAUACUUUACAUUUUUAGAAGUUUAAUUAGUUUGUUGCUAUAAAUAGAAAGUGUAUUGUUUCAAUGUAAUGUAAUAUAUUUUUCCUCUUCAAUCAAAGUAUAUACACAUAUUUCUUUCUCCUGCAUCUAUCUUCAUUCAUUCACUCUUUCUCAUAAGUUCAACAGUAUGUUAUAAUGACAUGGCUGUAACUCCUUGAUUUUCAUUCACUUAUUAAUUCCAUAGUGAUUAAUCCAUCACUUAAUCCUUAUAUAGAAGUGCUAUUUACCAAAGAAAAAGUCCUUAUAAGCUGCUUACUCUGGUUAGCUUUUGCAUGUGAGUUCAAUUCGAAGUCUAUAAUAAUAACUUCCACUACAGCAUAAUUAUAUCUGAUCCCACUUGAAAUAGAAAAUGUCCUAAUAAUACAUAUAUAUAAUAUAGCUUAGAGAGUGUAAUAAUUUAGAAUAAGGUACAUAGAUUUCAUGACAUUUUUCCUUUAAUCCUUUACCUUCCUGUCAAGAUUAUUACUAUAAUCAGUUCCCUGCCUUUUUAAGCCGAAAGGGUAUCAUGAUAGGCAAAGAAUUUCUGCAUUUUCCCCCACUACAUUCUAAACUAACAAAUAUUGCAGAAGCGGUGAACCUAAAAUACAGGGCAUGGUAGAUCUUAUAUAUAGAAAAAUAAGUACAGUUUUUUUUUAUAAUAGAAAUAACUGCAGAUUUUAUUCCUCUUUCAUCCUACAUACUCCAUGCUAAGUUAACCACAAGGUCUAAGGUUAGAAAAAUUUUGUUUAUAAAGUGGUAUGUCAGUAAAGUUAUUCUGUAAAAGGAAGAGAGUAGAAUCAUGAGAAACAAUAGUAGCUGCUUGGAUUUAAUUAAAUGAUGAAUAUCCCUUUAAAAUAAGGUUAGUUUGAUACCCUAUCAUCUGGUAUUGUGUGUAUAUUAUAAUAUUUAAAAGGCAAAGGGUUCUUAUAAUAUAUUAAGGAUUUCAAGCGUGGAACAGUGAUGCUAAGUAAUGAUUUUGUCUAAGGAGCCUAAGGGGCAUGAACAGCUUUCCAUGUUGAAAAUGAAAACACAAUUAAAUCCUUAACGGGUUUGGAAAGUUACAUAGCCAUUGAAAUAUGUUGUCUAUCAUAUCAUAGCUCCACAAGAGUGUUUUGCAUAAAGCCAUAAACCAUAAUUUGUGGUGUAUUGCAUGCAUGCUAGCAUCAUAUCUUGGGCCAUACUUUCCUAUGUAAUACAUCAUCAUGAUGUUGCUCUAGCCAUAUGCAUAAUUUGAAUGGGACGGUGUGUAAAUUGUUACUUAUGGGGACAAAUAAUUAUGAUUAAUCAUGUGCAUGGUUGUAAAACUGGUCCUUGCAGAAAGCUGUCCAGAGAUGUUGGGGUAUUUUAAGGACUUAGAUUGGGAUAUAAUACAGAAAAUAACUUUUUGAUUCUUGUGGGGUAAUAUAUCUUGCAAGAGUUUAGGAUCCAGGCAGAACGCAACCAGUUUCUUGGGCCUAGAAAAAAGAAUAGACAAAGGUAAAGAUUUGACCCAUAAUAAAUGUAAACUGUAUGAUAGACUGUAGAGUUGAAGAUAAAAUGGCCCAUUGCAAUAUCCAUAGUAUACAAAGAUUCGGCCUCAAUCAUUUCCCCUUUAUAACAAAGGUAAAUAUUUCACCCCUAAUAAAUUGAAAUUAUUGUCUUUAAGGUUUUUGUUCAAAACGUGAUGUCUUAUUUAUGGUUUGUGGUCGAAUCCAUAAUGCAUAGUCAAUAAAUUAACAUCUCUUUCUAACUUAGUAUAAGGUGAGUUAAUUGAGAAAACAAAUGCUUACUUUGCAGUUCUAUAUUCAUUUUUGGCCUAAUGCUAUUAACUAAUUCAUUUCAUGCUUUUUAACAAGUAUUCUUGUUGUGCUGAUAAAAACAACACAAAAAAGGUAUUGUCUUUGUCCUAAGGCUUUUCAUAGGCUAAUGGCCAUUGUUCUUUUCAUUUUUUAACAGAUUGGGAACCUUUAUAUGGAUCAAAUAGGCUAUGCAACAUUGUUAUAGAAAAGGAUAUAUUGGUACUACAUAUCACAGGUCAUCUAUAUGAUUAUAUGAUUAGGUUAUAGGCCAGCCCAUGCAGGCAAAUCUCACUAUCAUUCUUUUAUAAAAUAGUAUCAAAGGAUGGAAAUGCAUGUGCUUAACAGAGAAUUUUGUAGAAACUGAGUUGCAUUUCAUUGAAUGAAUCCAAUUAAAUGUACAGCUGGUAGUGUUGACUUUUGCACUAGAUAUAUAUUCUAACAGUUUAACAAAAGUCAAACAUUACUUAAAACCAUUAAUAUAAUUGACAAAGUUAUGUCUUGUGCAGUAAUGCUAUUUUUCAAUAAGAACAGAGCAUUAAUAAAGAUAGCAUAAUACUUGUUAUACAUGUAUUUGUAUUUAAAAAACAACAUCACAAAAGCUUAAAAAAAUCAACAAUAGAGUUCUCUCUUAAAAGGUCUUAAGACUCUCUCCACAUAAACAUUAUUUGUGGCACAAUUUUUGUCAUUCUCUGGCAAGUAUGGUGGUUGAUGAAAAAAUAUAAUUUAUUAAAUUUAUUUGAUUUAAAUCAUUUAAACCAUUUUGACAAAGGACACAAAAUAUGGGAUUGGUCAUUGGAUCCCUUCAAAUGUGCUACUUAAGUUGUAGAUUUACACAUUGAAAGCACCAAAGAAUGUUCUAGCUUCAAGAUAAUUACUCCAAUAAAUUUUCUAGCUACUAGUGAAUCACACAAGUAAAUCUGCCAAUUGUGAAUUCAACAACUAACUCUUAUCCUACUAUAAAACCGUGCUGAACUCAUGCUACAGAAGUAAUUGAGACAACCUAAGUCAGUUCUGUUUAGAGUCUUAAAAUUAGCCCAAUACAUUAAAAAUUUCUACUUAACCAAACCCACCUAUAUAAAUAGAAAUAGAAAAACUUCAAAUUUUCUUACUGAAACGAGUAGAAAUUUUUCUACAACAACUGCUUUUUUAACAGACCAAAAAGUUAAAAAAUCCAUGCCACUGUGAGGACUCUGGAGUCCUUAAUUACAACAAUUUCUUGUGAAUGUCAUAAAUAUGAUGGAAUCUGGUAAAUUACAAAUGAAGGGCAAAAUUGAAUAUUAUGAGGAUCUUAAUAAAAAGGGUUCUUCAAUAACAGUAUAAAUUUUUUACACAAUAAAUCCACCAUUCUAUUUCUUUUCCCCCAUAUGUUACUGAACAUAUCAUCAUUAUUUGUUAACUUUUUUUACAAGGCAUGUGAACAGAGAAUAGAGACAAUGGCAAACACACCACAAUAUAAAAAUCAAUUAAGCACUCAUAUUGGUGUCAUUGUGAUGUAUACCACAGAAGAAAAAAAGUUUUUUUUCCCUUCAGAGUCAAAAGUUUUGAUGUUACCGCGUAAACUACACAUUACUCUUUCUUUGUCUAUUUCUGGUUCAAAGACUUUGUGUUCUUCAAGUUUCUAGCGCAUCCAUGGUUGACUCCAUGAACAAGCUUUUUCUCUUUCCUACUUGACUUGUUUCAAAUAAAAAAACCUCACCUCCCUCUCUAUUCUAGAAUUCAGAUAUUUCUCACAAUUCAGUUCUCAAAUUCUGAUUCUCAGUGUUUUUUUCUAUGCAAAGCAAAGGUAAGAACUUCCUUUAAAACUCUCUGCAACUUUAGUUUAGUCAACCCUUAUCUACUUCUCCUUCUAAUUUCCCAUGUUGUAAACUUGUAAUAUAUAUUAUUAUAAAUGUAAAAUAGUUAGUUUCCUUUGUUAUCUCGUAUUACACACCCAGCAACAUCUUAAUUCUUAAACAAACACCAAUUAUACUUAUCAGAAUCCUAGUUAAGAAUAUGCGGUUUGUCAUUACUAUAUUACUAUAUAAUAUAAUUUUAAUACUUAAUACUUUUGAAGUAACACCAUAAAG
rnacentral:lncRNA from 1 species